UUGAUUUCAUAGUGGAAAUUUGACUUUAUAAUGAAUGAAUCCUCUUUGAUUAAAUAUGAUAAGUAUCUUGUUUGUGCGCGCUAAAGCAAAUUACGGAAGUGGUAUGAGAGCAGCUGCAACGUGCCAUGCAAAUGAUCAUCAAGGCGGUUAAAUGAGUAUGAGAAUUGCGGUUAAGUCUGUUUCGAUCCUGUUUGAACUAUAUAGCUAAACAGUACUAUAUGCUCACUAAAUUAGCG